CCCUCUCUCCCUUCCCUCUGCAGAGCCGCUGCGAUUGUCCGCUCCGGAGCCACUCUGUGCGCCUGUCGCCAUAUUGCCUUCCUCUUGCUCCGCGGUAAGAUGGGGGUGAAGUGCGGCCGUUGCCGUCACUCUUGACUCAUCGACGAGCUUCAGUUUCACUAAUUCGACUCCUGAGAGUGCAGUCGGUUCUUCUCAUCCUCGACGUCUGACAGAAAGGAGAGAAGUUGCUGAGCCAUGGAGGCCGUCAAAGCCUUUAAUAAUGAGUUGUACUCAUUGAAUGAGUAUAAACCACCCAUUUCCAGGGCUAAAAUGAACCAGGUGACAAAAGCGGCUAUCAAGUCUAUUAAGUUCUAUAAACAUGUGGUUCAGAGCGUGGAAAAGUUUAUUCAAAGGUGUAAACCAGAAUACAAAGUCCCAGGGCUGUAUGUUAUCGACUCAAUUGUGCGUCAGUCUCGUCAUCAGUUUGGUCCAGAAAAGGAUGUGUUUGCACCCAGAUUUUGCAAGAACAUCAAUACAACUUUCCAAAACUUGUACAAAUGUCCUGCUGAUGACAAGAGUAAAGUAGUGCGGGUACUGAACUUGUGGCAGAAGAAUGGAGUGUUUAAAAGUGAGAUUAUACAGCCACUUCUGGACCUGGCAGCAGGGAUUCCACCACCCUCUGUCACCUCUGCUGUUGCCAGUACUACAGCAGCAACUGUGAGCAGCAACACACCAGGAACUCCAGCCACUCCAGCCACUCCAGCCAAUGUCAUGCAAAAUUUACCUGAUCCGUGGGCCUCCAUCUCUCAGCUGUCAAACACAGACACUAUUGCUGCUGUUGCACAGCUUCUGCAGAGUCCCCAGGGGCAACAGCUCCAGCAGUUGGUGCAAAGUCUUCAAAUGCAGCAGCAAAAACCUCAGCCUUCUCUGCUGCAGGCUCUUGAUGCUGGGCUUGUAGUUCAACUGCAGGCUCUUACAGCCCAGCUGACAGCAGCUGCAACAGCUAAUACACUUAAUCCACUGGAGCAACGACUCAAUUUUAAUAAGAAACUCCUUGACAGAUUUGAGUAUGAAGAAGAACAGGAUCAUUCAGAGGAAACUAAGAAAGAAACAUCUGCAUCCCAGCUACCUCUAGUAACUGAGACCAUGAACACAUCACUUUUUCAGCAGCUGGCUGAGCAAUUCCAACAGCAAAACUUUGAGCAACUUCGGCAACAGAUAAUGGAACAACAGCAGACACAACAGAAUGCAACUUUGGACAAUCAGGAGGUAACUUUUGGAUCUGAACAGUCAGUGACCCCUUCCCAGAGCAGCACUCAACAGCAACAAGAGCAAGAGAUCAGAGUGGAAGAUCAACUUGAGCAACAACAACAGGAUAUGGAUAUUGAUGCACCUGAUGGUCAGGACCUUAUUGAAGAAGAAAUCUUUCAGCAUGAAGAAAAAAAGCCUUUAGCACGUUCAAGAUCUCUGACACGCUCAAGAUCUCGUUCAAGAUCACCUCGAAAGAAAAGGUCCAGAUCCCGCUCGGGGUCUCGCAAGCGCAAACAUCGGAAACGCUCUCGCUCAAGAUCAAAAGAAAGAAAAAGGAAGUCGUCUCGAUCUUAUUCCAGUGAAAGAAGAGCGAGGGAGCGUGAAAAGGAACGCCAAAAAAAGGGUCUGCCGCCUAUCCGUUCAAAAACACUUAGUGUAUGCAGUACUACACUAUGGGUUGGUCAGGUAGACAAAAAGGCAACACAACAAGAUAUAACAAAUCUCUUUGAGGAGUUCGGCCAGAUUGAAUCAAUAAAUAUGAUACCUCCUCGAGGAUGUGCAUACGUUUGUAUGGUUCAUCGACAAGAUGCUUUUCGUGCUCUUCAGAAACUAAGCACUGGAUCCUUUAAAAUGGGGUCUAAAAUUAUUAAGAUUGCUUGGGCUUUAAAUAAAGGUGUAAAACCUGAAUAUAAGCAAUUUUGGGACGUGGAUCUUGGAGUUACAUAUAUUCCGUGGGAAAAAUUGAAAUUAGAUGAUUUGGAAGGCUUUUCAGAGGGAGGCAUGAUCGACCAGGAAACUGUUAACAGUGAGUGGGAGUCGAGGAACACUGAGCCUGUAAAAGAGAAUGUGAUCCAACCUGUAACUACUGAAAGCACUCAACCAACGUCACAAGGAGAGACAUUCACACAAGCUGUCACUAUGCUACCUGUUCAGAUCCCAGUGACUCCAACUGUUUCAGCGAUUAGCAUGGUGCAACCACCAGCCUUUCCUGUAUCGAUGUCCAUACCUCCUCCAGGCUUCAACCCAGCCAUUCCACCACCUCCAUUUUUACGGCACAGCUUUAAUCCUUCGCAACCACCACCUGGUUACCUACCACCACCACCACCAGUUGUUCCACCUCCAGUUGUUGGUCCUUCUAUUCCGCCAGUACAAACCUCUCUAGUUUGCCCGCCUCUUUCCAACACCCAAGACAGUACAAAGGAUUCCCCGUUUGGGAACCUACUUUCACACAUAGGCUCUGGGCACAGCAAUCUCCCAACUCCUAGUAUUCCACCAGGGAGUAUGUUUAAUCCAAUUGGCACACAGCCUCUCUCUUCUGGUCCAGGUGGAUCAAAUGACUUAGGGGCACCACGCACAGGCAGCCAAACGUCAACAUCUGAAACAACAUCAACUUCUGGACCAGGAGCUCAAAGUACAGUUUCAACUGGGCCAGUUCUGGGAUUGCAACCGUCAACACCUGCACCAGGACUACCCAAUUUGCCACCUCCAAAUAUGGUUGGACCACGGAUACCUGGAGUGCUCCCACUGGAUGUGCGUCCUGGAUUGAUGCCACCAUCACCUGGACAGCGGUUUCCAUUGCUGAUGCCACCUCAGCCGAACAUGCCCCCUCAGCCGAAUAUACCCCCUCAGCCAAACAUGCCCCCUUCAUUGUCGAUUGACGGACCUCUUCACUCAGGGUCCAGAGCUCCCUUUCCACCAGUGAGUUCUUUCAGUAGGCUUGAAGGAGCAUUUACAAGAGCUGCAGUCCCCAGUUCUGACAGCAGUACUAAUGCAAGCCAAGGUGCAGCAGAUGAAAGAAGAUCUACUGGAAAUGAUCAUUCUUUUCAGCGAGAAAACAUGCAACAAGAAGGUGAUCGAGAUUAUCGCUUCCCACCAGUGGAUAACAGCGACAGUCAUGGAAGACGGGAUCAAUUUGGAUUUGGUCCUGACCAGAGAUGGGGCUCAAGGGAUUUUGAUGAACGUGAGCGUCGUGCUGUGCCCUUUGGCAGCCCUAAAGGUUUUCACGAUGAUCAUGAAAGAUAUGGUGGAAGAAAUUUCAGGUUUGAUGGAAGAAGCGGUCCAGUAUGGAACCGGGGUUUUGACCAGGAAGUCCACAGGGAUCUUGAUGAUCGCAGCAGGCCUUGGGAACGCCAGAGAGAUCGUGACGACCGAGAUUUUGGCUUUCGCCGAGAUGUAAAUGGAAACCGCUUUGGAAGAGACCGAGAGCAAGAUCACUGGGUUCCUCCUCGGCAUAGGUUUGACUAUUUUCAAGGGACCACUGAUCACCAAAAACCGGAUGAUAGGCCUCGGGUAAAUGGUGAUUUCUCAGAAACAAACAGCCAGACACCAAACAAGGAGCUUGCAAACAAUGAUUCUGAAGUUUCUGUGAACCUUGCAUCUCCAUCAGAUGGAAAUGUGGAGAAGGAUGACUUAGAAAAUCAACCUGUAACUGAAAACACAGAUACUGAGGGGACAUAAUUGUCACACGGUAUGGCAAUAUUUUGUAUAGGUGGUCAUCUGCAGUGGACAAAAUGGUUGACUGGAACUUGAGAAAAGUCACUGUUGUCUGCGAGACAAUUUAAUCCGAUGUACAUCCUUUCACUCUAAUAACUGAAGUUAAUGUGUACAACUGACCUGUACAGACUGUUGUUCUUUAGUUGAACACGGUAAUUUGUCAGGAUCUCAAGACAUCAAAGUCCCUUCUGGUGAGAAUCCAUCCUCGCUUCUGAUGGGGAAUAGGAUUCCAAAGAGUCUAAACAGGGAGCAAGCAGAGAGUCCAAAGUCACUCGGAAGCAAUAUCACCAGAACACACAUUGGAAGAAAAGCAUCUUCAGCACCAGUCAUCAUGGAAUUUAAGGCAUGUCAUCUGUUACUUCACCUGUCAGACAGAAAGUACUACAUUAGCUGCAACAGCUAAAGGUAAUGGACUUAAACCAUUAUACAACUACUAUGCUGGAUAUCUGGAAACAUCCCGAAGCAAAAACAGUUAACAAGAUUUGAAAGUGCAAUUAGCUUUGAUGCAAAUAAAAUAGACAGUGACAUGAUUACAAUAAAAUCUAAUAUUGCAGAUUAUGGGAAUCUGAAAUAAAAACAGAAAGUGCUGGAAAAACUCAGCAGGACUGACAGCAUCUUUGGAGAAAUAAAUUUAAUAUUUUGAUUCCAAGUUGACUCUUCUUCAGUAGUACACAAUGCUGUCCAGCUCCAUUGAACACAAAAUUGGAUUGGACGUGAACUCUGUAAUCAUUUAAACAUUGGUUACUUUCUUACCAAUCAAAACUUCACCGAGUCACCUGAUGGUCAGCUCGAUGGAUUCAAAGGAAGAAUCUAAAUGCUGUUGUGACAAAUAUGGCAUUUUCCACUGAGAUAGGUCCCAUAGAUAAUGCCAGCACAAAAGUGCUGUAAAAGUCUCAUUAAGUUUGCUUUGUGUAUUAUACUGUGUAAAAAUAUUUUGUAGUAAUGCAUUUGUUAUUAUAAAUUUUGUUAUAAAGUAAAACGUGAAUAUAAUGUAUCUUUUACUUGAGGACUUAUAAAUGAAACAACUGUUUUUCAAUACUUUUGUUUACAAAUGUAAAAAAACAGUAAUUUAUUUCCCUGUCACUAAAGUGGUGCCAAUUAAAUUGCAUUGA